GACGUAGGGCGCAAGCGUUGUCCGGAUUUACUGGGCGUAAAGAGCGCGCAGGCGGUCGUUCAAGUCGCGUGUGAAAGCCCCCGGCUCAACUGGGGAGGGUCACGCGAUACUGAUCGACUCGAAGGCAGGAGAGGGUAGUGGAAUUCCCGGUGUAGUGGUGAAAUGCGUAGAUAUCGGGAGGAACACCAGUGGCGAAGGCGACUACCUGGCCUGUUUCUUGACGCUGAGGCGCGAAAGCUAGGGGAGCAAACGGG
rnacentral:rRNA from 1 species